rnacentral:lncRNA from 1 species
ACUAUUAGUAGCGCUCUCCGCAAGUGCUCUUGGCAAUUUCUUUAACGGUAUGUACUUUUGAAAUAUUAGAGGUCGAUCGUCUUCUGGAUAUGAUCGAAUAUGCCGACAAACAUGCAACCAUGGCUUAAUCCAACUUUGUCGAUGCUUCUUUUUUAAUUUUUGAUCUUGCUCGUUAUACAACAAAUUUCUUGCUUGCGAUCUCUCUGUUCU